UAGGGAAUAUUGGACAAUGGGCGAAAGCCUGAUCCAGCAAUGCCGCGUGAGUGAUGAAGGCCUUAGGGUUGUAAAGCUCUUUUACCCGGGAUGAUAAUGACAGUACCGGGAGAAUAAGCCCCGGCUAACUCCGNGCC
rnacentral:rRNA from 1 species